CUCCUGUUUUUCGUCACACAUGGUUUUCGGCACGAGAAAAAAACACGUUCGUUUCAAACCACUACUGCACAAAUACUAUAAUAGUGACGAAAACGUGUUUUGGUACGUGCAUAGAUAAGAUAUCUAGAUACCCAACGCAUUACUCGUUUUUUUCACUAUCCAUCCAGGGCGCCCUAUAGGCGGGCAGUCUCGUUGUUUAAUAG